AUGGUUGAUUUUGAAGAAGAUGAGGCUGAUGAAGAAGAUGUUGACUAUGAAGAAGAAGAAGAAGGAGAAGAAGAAGAUGAGGAUGAUGAUGAAGAAGAAGAAGAUGAUGAUGAUGAAGAAGAAGAGGGAGAUAAUGUGGAUGAAGAGGGAGAGGUUGAGAUCAUUGACAUGGGAUCGUUUUCUGAACCGGGAAGAAAGUUUUUGUCGAAAGUGUGGAAGGAAUAUGAGCCUAUCCGUGUUGAUGGCAUUGUUGUAGCUGCUGAGUGCAAACACUGUGCAAGGAAUAUUUGUGCUGAGCAUAAACAUGGAACAAGUUCAUUGCGCAAACAUUUGAAGAGAUGCAGGGAAAGUAAGAAGGUUCUUAGAGUUUCUGGACAGCUGAGUGCUUCUAUCGUGAGUCCUGAUGGAGUUGCAAUGGGGCUUUGGACCUUUAAUCAGGCAUUAGCACGCCGAGAGCUGAUGAGGAUGAUAGUGUUGCAUGAAUUGGCAUUCUCAUUGGUGGAGUACGAUGGAUUUAGAAGAUUUGUCUCUAGUCUAAAUCCUAGCUUCAAGAUGAUAUGCAGAAAAACUGUGAAGGAGGACUGCAUGAAAGCAUUUAAGGAAGAGAAGAGAAUUUUGCAAAGGAUGUUCCAAAACUCCAAAUCCAAGAUUUCUUUGACUACGGACCUAUGGACAUCAAAUCAGACACUGGGGUACAUUUGCCUCACAGCUCACUUCAUUGAUGAGGAGUGGAAGCAGCAGAAGAGGAUAGUGAAAUUUGCAGCUAUGGAUACGCCGCACACAGGAGCUGUAAUGUUCAAUGUCAUGGUGAAUUUCAUAAGAGAGUGGAACAUUGAAGAUAAUCUCUUUGCUGUGACGCUAGACAAUGCAUCGAACAAUGGUGCAAUGAUGAAGCUAUUGAAGGCACAUCUCCUGCUUAAGAAGAUGUUACCUGGUGGUGGCAAGUUGUUUCACCAACGUUGUGCCGCCCAUGUCAUAAAUCUGAUAUGUCAAGCAGGAUUGAACUUCCUUGGUCCAGUGAUCAACAUGAUACGUGAAACUGUGAAAUAUAUUCGAAGCUCACCAAGUCGAAAGGAAAAAUUUCAAGAAAUUGUUGAGCAACAUGGUGUAUCAUGUGGGAGAACUCCAAGUCUUGAUGUUCCAACUCGCUGGAACUCAACCUACAUGAUGAUUGAUAUAGCAAAAGAGUAUCGUGGAGUGUUUGACUCUUUGGCCAUUCAAGAUAAACAAUAUACCUUCAAGCCAUCUUUUGAGGAUUGGGAAAAUGCUGAAGAUGUUUGCAAGCUACUGAAGGUAUUUUAUGAAGCCACUAAUGUGAUAUCCGGCACAAAAUAUCCAACUGCUAACUUGUAUUUCCAUGAAAUGUGGAAAGUGAAGCUGACCUUAGAGCAACAACAUUAUGAAGAGGAUUCUGAGAUGGGCACAACGGUCAAAUAUAUGAAGAGAAAAUUUAGAAGGUAUUGGAAGAUGACAUGGUUGAGCCUUUGUAUUCCAGUGAUUUUGGACCCACAAUUCAAGUUGAAACAUAUUGAGUUCCGAUUUGGCCUAGAGUUUGGGAACGAAGCUGCAGCAAUGAUUGCUAAAAUAAAAAAUGUGUUCCAAGGGUUGUUCAAGGAAUACCUCCAAUUGAAUGACAAUGGAUCAGAUCCCAUGUCACAAGGAGGUGAUGAUGACAUGGCUAUAAGUGGUGAAGAUCCUAUGGCUGAUUGGGACCAACAUGUCACCCUCACUGCUCGAUCAACAAAUUUGGAUUCUACCGAACUUGAUUCGUACUUGUCAAAGGUACCCAUCUGUCGAAGUGAUCAAUUCAAUAUCCUUACAUGGUGGCAGACGAACUCCAGUGAAUACCCAACGCUGAGUCGCAUGGCAGCUGAUAUCUUGGCGGCUCCUUCCUCUGCGGUGGCAUCCGAGUCCGCCUUCAGCACAGGGAAGAGAGUCCUAUCAGAUUUUCGAAGUCGAAUGACCGCAACGACACUUGAAGCUCUUGUUUGUUUACAAGAUUGGAUAAGGGCCAACGGUAAAGCCAUACGACACAAGUUUCUUCUUUGUUUCUUAUUAAUGCUUCAAGUUUACAAGUUUCUUUUUUUUUCUGCAGCUAAUACUCAAUGUAGCUUGGCUUCAGUUCAUGACAUUAUAAUGGACUUACAAGGUAUGAGAAACCUUCUGAUGUAUAUAGUGCCAUGUAUAUGA
rnacentral:rRNA from 1 species